rnacentral:rRNA from 1 species
UACGAAGGGGACUAGCGUUGUUCGGAAUUACUGGGCGUAAAGCGCACGUAGGCGGAUCUUUAAGUCAGGGGUGAAAUCCUGGAGCUCAACUCCAGAACUGCCUUUGAUACUGGGGAUCUCGAGUCCGGAAGAGGUGAGUGGAACUCCGAGUGUAGAGGUGAAAUUCGUAGAUAUUCGGAAGAACACCAGUGGCGAAGGCGGCUCACUGGUCCGGUACUGACGCUGAGGUGCGAAAGCGUGGGGAGCAAACAGGG